AUUUAUAUAGCUUAAAUAAAGAGCAUGAUAUUGAAGAUAUCAAGGUAAUUUAAAAUUUAUAAAUA
rnacentral:tRNA from 1 species